rnacentral:misc_RNA from 1 species
AAAAUAUGGGUUGGGUUGAAAGUUCUACAAUGGAGAAAGAGGAAAAAAAGCCUCAAAAUCACAAGAUAAUCAUUCACCAAUUUAUUGAAACCCACAAUUUUAUCUACAAGCCUUAGUGUAACAGAAAGAAAGUAAAAUCAGUUGUUCACAAAACUAGGAAGGAAAAUAUGAGAUAAAAAGAACAAACUCACAAAUGUUAUGGUGUAACCAGAUUU